rnacentral:misc_RNA from 1 species
CAAGGCAUAUCUUUUUCCUGAAGGUAAAUCAUGUUGCCUGUUUACACAAAUUGUGCAAUAAGUUAAUUAGGGUUAUAUUUGUUAUACUCCAUCCAAUAGAUUUAUGUCGAUAUUGGACUGAUUCUCAUCCAACUGUGUUUUUCCCCUUUUUCUGAAUGAUAUAGCUUUUUAAUCUCGAGAACCUUUUGCAGGAACUGCAAGGCUUCCAGG